rnacentral:rRNA from 1 species
UGCCAGCAGCCGCGGUAAUACGGGGGGCGCAAGCGUUAUUCGGAAUUAUUGGGCGUAAAGGGCGCGUGAGGCGGUCCUAUCGGUCAGAUGUGAAAGCCCGGGGCUCAACCCCGGACGUGCAUUUGAAACAGUAAGACUUGAGUACGGGAGAGGAGAGAGGAAUUCCUGGUGUAGAGGUGAAAUUCGUAGAUAUCAGGAGGAACACCGAUGGCGAAGGCAUCUCUCUGGGCCGAUAUUGACGCUGAGGCGCGAAGGCGUGGGUAGCGAACGGGAUUAGAUA